UUUCAGUUGACAUUUACCGCAGGGACGCACAGGUUGAGCAGAGCCCAAAUGUUUAUGAACGCCUCGAGCCUGGAAUUAGACGUCGAUCAGUUGAUGAGCGCUAUCCGAGAGGCUGCCCUCAAAAAGUAUCCCGAUCUCGAUACCUACACGAAACACGAAGCAAUUCCGCCUGCGUUACUGCUCCACCUGAAACAGAGAAACGAACGCGAUGAGCGAAAAGACGAACGCUAUCAGGGGCAAAACGGACGCAAUCAGUUAACUCUUUCACCAGAGUUCAUGUUUCACAGCAACGAUACCUACCACGUCAACGAUCUGUUGAAGUAUCACGAUCGCGACUUCGUGAGGAACGCCUAUCGUGCGAUCGUCAAACGCGAACCUGACGAGGCGGGAUUUCUCUACAACCUGAAGCUGCUUCAAAGUGGUGUCUUCAACAAAAUCGACAUCCUUGCAAGCUUGCGGUAUUCGGAGGAGGGCAAGCUGAACGGCGUAAGUGUCAGUGGCUUGAGAUUACCGGCGACUGUCCGCACUCUGGAACGAAUCCCAAUCUUUGGAUACGUGCUUCAACUCUUGCUUGCGUUCGUGCGCCUACCGUUGAUGGUUCGGAGUCAAAGACAGUUUCAGGGAUACAUCGUGGCCCAACAGUUAGCCAUUGCCGAUUACGUUAACGAGAGCCAACGUCGCAACGACGAGAGCCAAUUUUUCAAGGCUAAUGAAGCCGAACAACAUCGCUCCAACCUGACCAAUCAGUUGGGCGCGCUGGAGCUCAUCGUUAAUGAGACGGUGCUGCCCCGCAUCGUGACUGAAGAAGAGAGAUUGAAAAACGCUGAAGCAAAGCUACUACAGUUGGAUGAUCACCUUUCGAGCGUGUCGGAAACGCUGUCUCGAACUCGCCAACAGAUUAGCGGCCUGUUGAGCGAUUUAAAAACCGUGGAUCGAAAUCUUGCGGCGGAGAUGACGACAACCACCGAUCAGCUUCGUGACUGGGAUAACUUCUACGCGGCUUUUGAAGAUGAAUUUCGCGGCAACGCUGAAGAAGUCGAAGAGCGCUUGCGGUACUACUUGCCUUUCCUUGAGGAGUUGAACCCCGACAGCAAGAUCCUCGAUCUCGGCAGCGGUCGUGGCGACUGGCUUAAGCUGCUCAGCAAAGAAGGCUUCAACCCUUGUGGAGUUGAACUCAAUGAAGUGUUGGC
rnacentral:misc_RNA from 1 species